UCGACACCAUGGAUCUCCAGGUGGGUCACGUUUAGAGAUACACCAACCUGGAGGACUCCAUGCUGUUGA
ensembl:miRNA microRNA 490